rnacentral:tRNA from 1 species
AGCAGUGUGGCUCAGUGGAAAAGAGCCUGGGCUUCAGAGUCAGAGGUCAUGAGUUUGACUCCCAGCUCUGCCA